UACGGGGGGGGCAAGCGUUGUCCGGAAUCAUUGGGCGUAAAGCGCGCGUAGGCGGCCCUGUAAGUCCGUUGUGAAGGUCAAAGGCUCAACCUUUGAAAGCCGAUGGAUACUGCAGGGCUAGAGUCCGGAAGAGGCGAGUGGAAUUCCUGGUGUAGCGGUGGAAUGCGCAGAUAUCAGGAGGAACACCAAUAGCGAAGGCAGCUCGCUGGGACGGUACUGACGCUAAGGCGCGAAAGCGUGGGGGAGCGAACAGG
rnacentral:rRNA from 1 species